GUGAUAAUCCACUUGUGGGGUUUUUUAAUAGCUUUGUUCGUGAUAGUUUGGCUAGAGAGAAAGAGAGGUUAGAGAUGGCUGAGAAGACUUUCAAGGCCCUUGAUCUCAAUAAGUUAAAGAGCUGUUUUGGAUUUGAUACAUUCUUUGCAACUGAUGUUCGAAGAUUUGGUGAUGGGGGAAUUUUUAUUGGGAAUUUAAGAAGACCCAUUGACGAGGUCAUUCCCGUGCUGGAGAAAAAACUAUCUGAAGCGGCAGGGAGGGAGGUCGUUGUAUGGUUCAUGGAGGAAAAGAAUGAUGAAAUUACAAAACAGGC
rnacentral:misc_RNA from 1 species